AGGUGCGAUCAUACCAGCACUAAUGCACCGGAUCCCAUCAGAACUCCGCAGUUAAGCGUGCUUGGGCGAGAGUAGUACUAGGAUGGAUGACCUCCUGGGUAGUCCUUGUAUUGAACCUCU
rnacentral:rRNA from 1 species